rnacentral:tRNA from 1 species
GUGAGUUGGCUCCAUGGUUAGAGCGGUGGUCUCGUAACCGAAAGGUUGCGGGAUUGAAUCCCGCUAGAAGCUGAAA